rnacentral:rRNA from 1 species
UACAGAGGGGGCUAGCGUUAUUCGGAAUUAUUGGGCGUAAAGGGCGCGUAGGCGGCCACGCGUGUCUUUCGUGAAAUCCCUCGGCUUAACUGAGGACGUGCGGAAGAAACUGCGAGGCUCGAGUCCGGGAGAGGGGGGUGGAAUUCCCAGUGUAGCGGUGAAAUGCGUAGAUAUUUGGAGGAACACCGGGCGAAGGCGGCCCCCUGGACCGGUACUGACGCUGAUGCGCGAAAGCGUGGGUAGCAAACGGG